ensembl:snRNA U6 U6 spliceosomal RNA
AUGCUCACUUCAGCAGCACAUAUACUAAAAUUGGAGCAAUACAGAGAAGAUUAGCAUGGCUCCUGCACAAGGGUGACAUGCAAAUUCGUGAAGAGGUACAUAUAAAA